UUCACGCAAGAACAAUUUAGUGCCUUUGUUUAGUAUAGUUUUACUUUUAGUGUAGUUUUCAUUAUUAGUUUUAGUGGUAAACUUAUGUAAGGAAAAAAGGUUUUACUCUUAGCAUAGAUAGUAGAUAUGUCUUCAAUUCUCACUACUGGUUCUGUGUCGGAUUGAUUUUAAAACCCGCAGCAGUGAGUCUCAGUGCCCCGGUCUACAGACUUGAGCUCACAGCACUAAAAACAGCUGUGUACACGCUCAGGCUCUGAAGCGGGUUUCAGAGUCCGAGCUCCAGUCCAAGCCGCAGUGUCUACACUGCUGGUUUUAGUGCUGUAGUGCCAGCCCAGGCUCUUAUACUCGCUGCUCUGUUUUUUAAAAUGCAGUGUAGACAUAACCUAAGAGACCUGGCUUCAAAAGGGUCAAGUAAUAGAGAACUAGUAUCACUUCAUUAGGGAGCACAGGGCCCAAGAGCAAGAAUCCUUUGGGAUCAGAUCUUCAAAGAAGCAGACUAACAGAUGCAGCCUGUCCAGAACGACAUCACCCUGAGGCGGGUCACUCGGAGUCAGAGAGAGC